ensembl:lncRNA
UGAGACUUAGUAACAGUCGGCUUACUGGAGCUGACUAUUAAGUAAAUAGGAAUUAGACAAGAGACGAAGAAUUCACUUGCACAGACAGACAAGGCAGAUGCUAUUCAGGAAAGCCGCAAUGCUGAAGGGAAAGGACUGUAAGAAAAUACAUGCACAUGAUUAAAUACUGCAAAAAUGGUCUAAAAUUAGCCUAGGUAUUUGAUGUUUGGAGGUGCAGGAAGAUUAGAAGAUGGAGACCAGGAACGUGCAGUGGGGCAGAACCCCUCAGGACUGAGAAAAUUACUCAGAUACUGAAUGGCUGAGGACAUCUAUUGCUCGAUGUUGACUUUACUGGAAGGCUUAUGCUUGAAGACUGUAGUCACGAGCCUGAGAUACACCUUAGUACAGAAGGCUUAUCUGACUUACCACAGUAUCUCAUAGAGAUGGAAGCUUGCAAAGAAGAUAGAGACUUCUUGCAUCUCUGGUUUAUUAUCUCUAUGACACUCACCUCAUCAUUGCAAGGAAUCAGACAAAAAGUAGCCUAGAG